AGUCUCAACAGAUCACCCCCCAGCUUGCCCUUCAAGUUCUACUUCAGUUUGAUAAAGCUAAAUUCAGCAUUGGCUCAGAGAGUCAGGAACAGAGUCAAUUUCAGGGGCUCUCUAAAUACAUACAGAUUCUGCGAUAAUGUUUGGACUUUUGUAUUGAAUGAUGUUGAAUUCAGAGAGGUGACAGAACUUAUUAAAGUGGAUAAAGUGAAAAUUGUAGCCUGUGAUGGUAAAAAUACCAGUUCCAAUACUACGGAAUGAGUAGAGAAAUUGGGCUUUUUUAUGCCACCUUCUAUUAUUUUCAUCACUUUUUGAAGAGAAACAUAGAAGAGACUUUUUUUAUUUAUUCUCACAGUGCAGAAAUAACACUGUGCUAUAUAUACUACCCAAGGGUUCCACAGAGAGAAGCAUGUGACUCUGUUCUCUUAAAUGACCUUUAGUACACAGCAUAAAGAAAUGUAACUUUUUUUUAAUGACAAAUCAAAAGUGGUUGCCUUCCUAAGAAUAUUCUUCAAUAAAACUCGUUUUAAAACUUAAAAA
rnacentral:lncRNA from 1 species